rnacentral:lncRNA from 1 species
UUGAGAGAAUUCUCCAUUAAUUCAUCAUAAAAGGUCUUGUUUACAAUAAUGAGAAAAUAACCUAUUUAUACUAGAUAACCUAGAAUAAUAUUAAAAGGAAUAAAUUCUAGAAAGCCUAGAAAUCUAAUAUAACAGGAAAAUAGAGUCCUAAAAUAUCUAAAUUACCAAAAAUAAGAAAUUGGACCGAAACAAAACUUUUCUAGAUCACAUCAAACCCUCCCUCUUCAAGAGGAUUCAUCCUCGAAUCUUGAUCAAAGUCAUAGCCUUUACUUUCAAUCAACUCAAGCACAUGAAAUGUCUCAUCACUUCUCGGAUGAAAUUUGGACCUCUUUUGACCUCGAACUCUCCUCUUUUGAAUGUAGACCCAAUCACCAUCAUGUAGAUCAAAAUGUGCUUGCCUCAACUGCUUAAUUUUGCGAAUUGGAAAUCCUCCAAUGAAAACUCCACUUGAUGAAUAAUCAUGCAUCUUCCUUGCUUUACUUUGCUCAAACACUUGACGCAAUGUCACUUCUAAUGUAUCCAUAUUGUCCUUCAAUUCAUUUUCCUUAAUCAACUCUCUGCAUGUAUAGCUCCUCGGUGCCUUACUCCAUCAUCUCCUCGGGAAUCACAAAGUCAAUUUUUGGUAGAUAAGGAAAAUCCAACCGAUGUAGUAUCAACUGAUGUUCAAUUUCUGGGACAGGUGGUAUUCCAAUGUGAUCAUUUUCUAGGAUUGAAUCUU